rnacentral:rRNA from 1 species
UACGUAGGUGGCGAGCGUUGUCCGGAUUUACUGGGCGUAAAGGGAGCGUAGGCGGACUUUUAAGUGAGAUGUGAAAUACCCGGGCUCAACUUGGGUGCUGCAUUUCAAACUGGAAGUCUAGAGUACGGGAGAGGAAAGUGGAAUUCCUAGUGUAGCGGUGAAAUGCGUAGAUAUUAGGAGGAACACCAGUGGCGAAGGCGACUUUCUGGACCGUAACUGACGUUGAGGCACGAAAGUGUGGGGAGCAAACAGGAUUAGAUACCCUGGUAGUCCCUGAGCGGG